UCCCUAUUGGUGGAGACAGUAAAGCAUCUGCAUGCAAUGCAGGAGAUCCAGGUUUGAUCCCUGGAUCAGGAU
rnacentral:tRNA from 1 species